CCGCUGGAGAACGCGCGUUUCCCCCGAGGAGGCAGGCAAAGGGCACGCAUAAAACAGACCAGAAAAUGCAAAGGGGGAGGAGGCGGGCCCUGGGUUCUGCCGCACCCAAGCCUCUGUUGACCUGCUGGCAGUGUCACACUCUUGAUCCGAAGGAAGCUGCUGUCGGGACGUUAGUCACCUGGGUGCACAGGUUUGGUGGUCCCGUGGACUCUUCCCUGUGUUCUUGGCCUCCUCCUGGCAGUGGGGAGGCAGGAGGGAGCGGGGAGAGCCCGAGAUGCUGGCGUCCUUCCUGACUCAGGUUCCCGGUCAGCGGAGCUGAAUCCGACACUCUCUGGAGCCCUCCUGGACCCACUGGUAUAUGUUAGGAGUUAGGGGGAAGUCUGGGUUGGCCAGAGGCGGAGAGCCCUUGUCCCCUGGGCCACCCGUGUGCAGUGCCAGCGUUCCCUGCCCAAACCAGCUGCCCUCAUGUUCCCAAGGGAUCUAGCAACCACACUCAAACGCAGAUGAUUGUAAGAGAAAUAUGUCCAAGGUAAUAGAAGUGUUGAACCUGAUCCUGUCCUCAGACGAGACCGGUGAGAGGAGAGAACACGAUAUUCCCACCUUGAAUGGGGGUCAGCAGGGAAAGGGGAUGCUGGUUGUGCCAAACCUCCUAAUUUUUCUGCUUCGUGCCUUCAGAGAUGGAUAAACAGGGUGGGAGUAAGGGAGUCAGACACGCUGUGGGCGCACAGGGCAGUGAAUCAAACCCGGGAAGCUCCCAGGUCCCUGACUCAAACCACUCAUCACAGCCCACCCCCCACCCCCCACGCCAAACUUCUUAAAGGUCAGGCCAGGGCAACCCAGAAACCGGGCUCCAUUUGGAUGCCUGUUUUGGCAUCACAAACAGCUUCUCCUCCCCACAGAUGUCUCUUUGCUUCUUCCUGGGGUGAGUGGGCCGCAGGGGGCCUGGGUCCUGCCCUGCAGACUUGAGUGAAGGCUGGGCUGUGGGGAGUCCCACGAUGAGAGCCCGGGGCUUCCAUCCAGUGGGGCCAGCUGAGCUUGCAUGAUCCCUGAUGACCGGAAGGGGUGGCGUCACUCCGGAACUCGGGGCUGAUGACUUGAAAUCAUGGGGUGAAGUGAGAGACGCUUCGCCGUCUUGACAGUGUGGGGACUGGCUCCCGUGAGAGCGUGUCGCAGGGCACGAACUCCUCCCUGAGUGAACCUGUGUCCCCGCGCACCCGGGCCGCAUCAGGACAGGAUAUCAUCAGCUGGUUUUUCCCUAUUUUCCACCCAUAAAGAGAUGCCUGGCUCUCCCCUGCUCAGGGUGGUGCUUGGGGACCGGCUGAUGGCCUUGCUGGGAGCCUGCUUCUGGAGCUUUAAGGAAAUAAUUGCCUUUAGGAUAGACAUCUGGAUGCUUUUAAAAAAUAGCAGCAUUUGGAAGAGCUGAGAGACAAAGUGCCGGGAAGCGGCCUUGAAGAUGUGUGUGCCCGACAUGCUGAAGCGCGAUGUGUUUUUUGUGCUAAUGUGUGCCUCUGAACUUCUUUAAAAUGCCAAAUUAUUCUCUUCUGGGAGGGAUGCAAUCAGUUCUCUGCUGACUAUUAUAAAAAAUGUAGAUAAAAGCAAAAUUUCAAA